rfam:Felis catus isolate Cinnamon breed Abyssinian chromosome F2, whole genome shotgun sequence.
GCCUGGGUGGCUCAGUCAGUUAAGCAUCUGGCUUCAGCUCAGAUCAUGAUCUCAUGGUUUGUGGGUUCAAGCCCCACAUCAGGCU